GGAGAUGAGAGGGUGAGAGCUUCUUUUCUCUUGAUUUCUUCAUUUUAGAGGGAGGAGGAAGGGAGGAGGCUAGUCCUCAUCUUGUAAAGAUAUUGCCUUCGUGAUUUAGUCGAAUUUGUGUCUCAAAUCCGUGGCUAAAUCUUGUUGUUUCUUUCAUUUUUUUAGGAUUUUUAGGGUAUUUUUGUGGGAAUUUUCGUACUUUGAGUUUGAACCCAAAUCCCGCGAGGUUUGCAGGGGAAUUUAUUGCUAGGAUACUUGUGAGCAUCUACGAUAUGAUCCCUCAUCAAAUCUCCACAGAUUCGGCUUGAAUUUGAAGUUUUUCCAAAAACUCGUGUUCUGCAAAAUUCGCGAUAGAUACUCGUGCUUUUCGAGAUCUUUUUCAUGGAUCUAUUAGGCCUUGGGUUGUGCAUAUAUGGCUCAAAUUUUGUCCGAAUCGUUGAGUUUUGCGGGAGGAUUUUAGAGUUGAAGUAUCGUUUCUUUUGUUCUUGGUGCUCUUGUUUCCUACUCUGUUAUUCGUGCUACAGGGGGCGAGCGCGAGCUGCUGGAGG
rnacentral:lncRNA from 1 species